rnacentral:rRNA from 1 species
GUAAGGAAUAUUGGUCAAUGGACGCAAGUCUGAACCAGCCAUGCCGCGUGAAGGAUUAAGGCCCUCUGGGUUGUAAACUUCUUUUAUCUGGGACGAAAAACGGGCUUUCUAGCUCACUUGACGGUACCAGAGGAAUAAGCACCGGCUAACUCCGUGCCAGCAGCCGCGGUAAUACGGAGGGUGCAAGCGUUAUCCGGAUUUACUGGGUUUAAAGGGUGCGUAGGUGGGUCUGUAAGUCAGUGGUGAAAUCUCCGGGCUUAACCCGGAAACUGCCAUUGAUACUAUAGGUCUUGAAUUAUCUGGAGGUGAGCGGAAUAUGUCAUGUAGCGGUGAAAUGCUUAGAUAUGACAUAGAACACCAAUUGCGAAGGCAGCUCACUACGGAUGUAUUGACACUGAGGCACGAAAGCGUGGGGAUCAAACAGGAUUAGAAACCCGAGUAGUCC